rnacentral:rRNA from 1 species
CAGCUAUAAUCUACUCGUUCUUGAUUUCCUAAACGGAUAACUGCGAUAAUUUUGGAGCUAAUACGUGCACCAAAGCCUUCUCCUCACGGAUGGGCGCACUUAUUAGAACAAGACCAAUCGGUGCAAGCCGUUUUGGUGACUCUGAAUAAUUUCGCUGAUCGCAUGGUCUAGUACCGGCGACGUAACGUUCGAGUAUCUGCCUUAUCAACUGUCGAUGGAAGUCUAUGUGGCUACCAUGGUUGUAACGGGUAACGGAGAAUAAGGGUUCGACUCCGGAGAGGGAGCCUGAGAAACGGCUACCACAUCCAAGGAAGGCAGCAGGCGCGUAAAUUACCCACUCUCAAUGCGAGGAGGUAGUGACUAUCAAUAACGAGACAGAUCUCUUUGAGGCCUGUUAUCGGAAUGGGUACAAUUUAAACCCUUUAACGAGGAUCUAUGAGAGGGCAAGUCUGGUGCCAGCAGCCGCGGUAAUUCCAGCUCUCAAGGUGUAUAUCGUCAUUGCUGCGGUUAAAAAGCUCGUAGUUGGAUCUGAGUUCGUGGACGUGGUGCUCCAUGUGAGUAACUGCGCUCCUGAACUGUUAGUCGGUUUUCCGGCGUUUGCCUUCACUGGUAGGCGUCGGUGGCUGGCGUGUUUACCUUGAAUAAAUUAGAGUGCUCAAGACAGGCGUUUUGCUUGUAUAUUCGUGCAUGGAAUAAUGGAAAAGGACUUCGGUUCAUUCUGUUGGUCUUGGAAUCGAUGUAAUGGUUAAGAGGGACUGACGGGGGCAUCCGUAUCGCUGCGUGAGAGGUGAAAUUCUUGGACCGUAGCGGGACGUCCAACUGCGAA